UACGAAGGGGGCUAGCGUUGCUCGGAAUUACUGGGCGUAAAGGGCGCGUAGGCGGGUCGUUAAGUUGGGGGUGAAAGCCCAGGGCUCAACCCUGGAAUUGCCUUCAAUACUGGCGACCUUGAGUAUGGCAGAGGUGUGUGGAACUCCGAGUGUAGAGGUGAAAUUCGUAGAUAUUCGGAAGAACACCAGUGGCGAAGGCGGCUACCUGGACAAUUGCUGACGCUCAGGCACGAAAGCGUGGGGAGCAAAAGGG
rnacentral:rRNA from 1 species